rnacentral:rRNA from 1 species
UACAGAGGUCCCAAGCGUUGUUCGGAUUCACUGGGCGUAAAGGGUGCGUAGGUGGCGAGGUAAGUCGGAUGUGAAAGCUCGGAGCUCAACUCCGAAAUGGCAUUGGAAACUACCUUGCUCGAGGGUUGGAGGGGGGACUGGAAUUCUCGGUGUAGCAGUGAAAUGCGUAGAUAUUCGGAAGAACACCAGUGGCGAAGGCGGCUCACUGGCCCGGUACUGACGCUGAGGUGCGAAAGCGUGGGGAGCAAACAGG